UAAUUAUGGUGUAUCAUACACUGAGCUACCCACCUGUGUCACUUUUGUUUGAUUUGAAGCCUUCCGUGAGAUUUUGGGUUUGGGCGAUAUCCACAAACCACCAUACAACGGGAGUCAGCGGGGCACAGACUUUAAAUCCGUCGUACACGCAUAAACAGUAUUUUCUUAUUUUGUUUAGGGUCAUACAAUUACGUUUCCGCCUCAUUUCAAUAUUUAAAUCUCCCGGGUUCAGUGAACGAAUUAAAAAUCUGUAUUGACUGAGGUGUGCCACGUCAUCUUUCUGCGACGCUCAUUCUGACAGCCAGCCAGCUCUGCUCCGGCAGUCGGCAACAUGAUAAAGUAACAAGAAGCAAACGUUGAAGCUCUCGGUUUUUAACAGUUCUUCGGCUAGAACUUUGCUAUGGAUUGAAUGUGCGCAUAUACUGGAUGCUGAAACUAAACGACAAGCUUUAUGAAACCGUGGCAUUUUGCGUUGAGAUGGAAAAGGAACGCGCCACACUCUCCUGGAUACGAGGCUACGUGUGUGCGGCUUUUGCGCCAAAGGUCUUUCUACCAGCAAAACAAAAUAGCAGGACAGAAGUGACAGCGUCAGAAACAAAACAUUGCUGUUCCGAUUGCUGAUGGAGACAACAGAGAAAGACAGGAGAAGGUCAAGACUCAAGAGCUGGACUUUCCAUGACGUCCUCACUCGACCCCUGUGAAUAGCAGCCCACCGUUGACCAGCCAUCAGUAUCUAGGCCUACUGUGCAGUCAUUUCCUGACCCGGUUUCUCACUAGCCCUUCGCAGACGAACACUACCACCUGAAGACGGUCGUCUGGAUAAUACUUCGGUUUGGCACCGGCAUGGUCUACCACAAAGAUAGACGCCAGACCUUCUGAAAGGACCUAAUGGACUGAGUGCUGGAAAGGAGACAACCCCUCUAUAGAAUAAACUGAGUGUAACAAACACUCCACCACGAAAACUCUCCACUCCAGU